rnacentral:rRNA from 1 species
GGUUAAGCGACUAAGCGUACACGGUGGAUGCCCUGGCAGUCAGAGGCGAUGAAGGACGUGCUAAUCUGCGAUAAGCGUCGGUAAGGUGAUAUGAACCGUUAUAACCGGCGAUUUCCGAAUGGGGAAACCCAGUGUGUUUCGACACACUAUCAUUAACUGAAUCCAUAGGUUAAUGAGGCGAACCGGGGGAACUGAAACAUCUAAGUACCCCGAGGAAAAGAAAUCAACCGAGAUUCCCCCAGUAGCGGCGAGCGAACGGGGAGCAGCCCAGAGCCUGAAUCAGUGUGUGUGUUAGUGGAAGCGUCUGGAAAGGCGCGCGAUACAGGGUGACAGCCCCGUACACAAAAAUGCACAUGCUGUGAGCUCGAUGAGUAGGGCGGGACACGUGGUAUCCUGUCUGAAUAUGGGGGGACCAUCCUCCAAGGCUAAAUACUCCUGACUGACCGAUAGUGAACCAGUACCGUGAGGGAAAGGCGAAAAGAACCCCGGCGAGGGGAGUGAAAAAGAACCUGAAACCGUGUACGUACAAGCAGUGGGAGCACGCUUAGGCGUGUGACUGCGUACCUUUUGUAUAAUGGGUCAGCGACUUAUAUUCUGUAGCAAGGUUAACCGAAUAGGGGAGCCGAAGGGAAACCGAGUCUUAACUGGGCGUUAAGUUGCAGGGUAUAGACCCGAAACCCGGUGAUCUAGCCAUGGGCAGGUUGAAGGUUGGGUAACACUAACUGGAGGACCGAACCGACUAAUGUUGAAAAAUUAGCGGAUGACUUGUGGCUGGGGGUGAAAGGCCAAUCAAACCGGGAGAUAGCUGGUUCUCCCCGAAAGCUAUUUAGGUAGCGCCUCGUGAAUUCAUCUCCGGGGGUAGAGCACUGUUUCGGCAAGGGGGUCAUCCCGACUUACCAACCCGAUGCAAACUGCGAAUACCGGAGAAUGUUAUCACGGGAGACACACGGCGGGUGCUAACGUCCGUCGUGAAGAGGGAAACAACCCAGACCGCCAGCUAAGGUCCCAAAGUCAUGGUUAAGUGGGAAACGAUGUGGGAAGGCCCAGACAGCCAGGAUGUUGGCUUAGAAGCAGCCAUCAUUUAAAGAAAGCGUAAUAGCUCACUGGUCGAGUCGGCCUGCGCGGAAGAUGUAACGGGGCUAAACCAUGCACCGAAGCUGCGGCAGCGACGCUGAUGCGUUGUUGGGUAGGGGAGCGUUCUGUAAGCCUGCGAAGGUGUGCUGUGAGGCAUGCUGGAGGUAUCAGAAGUGCGAAUGCUGACAUAAGUAACGAUAAAGCGGGUGAAAAGCCCGCUCGCCGGAAGACCAAGGGUUCCUGUCCAACGUUAAUCGGGGCAGGGUGAGUCGACCCCUAAGGCGAGGCCGAAAGGCGUAGUCGAUGGGAAACAGGUUAAUAUUCCUGUACUUGGUGUUACUGCGAAGGGGGGACGGAGAAGGCUAUGUUGGCCGGGCGACGGUUGUCCCGGUUUAAGCGUGUAGGCUGGUUUUCCAGGCAAAUCCGGAAAAUCAAGGCUGAGGCGUGAUGACGAGGCACUACGGUGCUGAAGCAACAAAUGCCCUGCUUCCAGGAAAAGCCUCUAAGCAUCAGGUAACAUCAAAUCGUACCCCAAACCGACACAGGUGGUCAGGUAGAGAAUACCAAGGCGCUUGAGAGAACUCGGGUGAAGGAACUAGGCAAAAUGGUGCCGUAACUUCGGGAGAAGGCACGCUGAUAUGUAGGUGAAGUCCCUCGCGGAUGGAGCUGAAAUCAGUCGAAGAUACCAGCUGGCUGCAACUGUUUAUUAAAAACACAGCACUGUGCAAACACGAAAGUGGACGUAUACGGUGUGACGCCUGCCCGGUGCUCGGAAGGUUAAUUGAUGGGGUUAGCCGCAAGGCGAAGCUCUUGAUCGAAGCCCCGGUAAACGGCGGCCGUAACUAUAACGGUCCUAAGGUAGCGAAAUUCCUUGUCGGGUAAGUUCCGACCUGCACGAAUGGCGUAAUGAUGGCCAGGCUGUCUCCACCCGAGACUCAGUGAAAUUGAACUCGCUGUGAAGAUGCAGUGUACCCGCGGCAAGACGGAAAGACCCCGUGAACCUUUACUAUAGCUUGACACUGAACAUUGAGCCUUGAUGUGUAGGAUAGGUGGGAGGCUUAGAAGUGUGGACGCCAGUCUGCAUGGAGCCGACCUUGAAAUACCACCCUUUAAUGUUUGAUGUUCUAACGUGGACCCGUAAUCCGGGUUGCGGACAGUGUCUGGUGGGUAGUUUGACUGGGGCGGUCUCCUCCUAAAGAGUAACGGAGGAGCACGAAGGUUGGCUAAUCCUGGUCGGACAUCAGGAGGUUAGUGCAAUGGCAUAAGCCAGCUUGACUGCGAGCGUGACGGCGCGAGCAGGUGCGAAAGCAGGUCAUAGUGAUCCGGUGGUUCUGAAUGGAAGGGCCAUCGCUCAACGGAUAAAAGGUACUCCGGGGAUAACAGGCUGAUACCGCCCAAGAGUUCAUAUCGACGGCGGUGUUUGGCACCUCGAUGUCGGCUCAUCACAUCCUGGGGCUGAAGUAGGUCCCAAGGGUAUGGCUGUUCGCCAUUUAAAGUGGUACGCGAGCUGGGUUUAGAACGUCGUGAGACAGUUCGGUCCCUAUCUGCCGUGGGCGCUGGAGAACUGAGGGGGGCUGCUCCUAGUACGAGAGGACCGGAGUGGACGCAUCACUGGUGUUCGGGUUGUCAUGCCAAUGGCACUGCCCGGUAGCUAAAUGCGGAAGAGAUAAGUGCUGAAAGCAUCUAAGCACGAAACUUGCCCCGAGAUGAGUUCUCCCUGACUCCUUGAGAGUCCUGAAGGAACGUUGAAGACGACGACGUUGAUAGGCCGGGUGUGUAAGCGCAGCGAUGCGUUGAGCUAACCGGUACUAAUGAACCGUGAGGCUUAACCUU